CCUCACAGAAAUUAAUCAUCUCUGACAGAAAUUAUGCCCAAUUUCCUUGGAUUUGGUUCUGGGCCCUGAGGUGCAAGAUGCGGUUGUACUUGUUGCAAAGGCAGAGAGCAAGACAGCAACCAAACAACACACACUCAAAAGUAGGCCUGAACAGGCAUUUACUAUUUAUAAGAUAAUCAUCUGAUCCCUCCUAAGGGAAAUCCUAUCCUUUCGGGUUGUCGAGAGCACAAGUAACUAACUGCACAGUCUCCACAGGACUGCUAGGAAGGAACAGAAGGGAAGCAAUUAUAUCAGUGAGGAGCACGCUCAGAGCGCUCAGGCAAAAUUCCUCCCUGCUCCAUAACAACACAGGCAUCCUCCUGGAAAGCGAGCCAGGGAUUAUGAACAGGGAUUAAUCCGUUACGCUAAUUUGUUAUGAGCAAAGUAAUUUUUUUAAGAGUAGUCUUCUCCAUUAAUCGUUAUCUAAAAAGGGCUCUGAUCUAGUUCUGCAAAUGUUGACAUUUUCCUGCAAGCAGUGAUAGAGGAGAGUCUCACGAUAAGGGCCCACAUUGAAAUCCAGAAACACGCCAACAAGCAGAAAACUGGCUGGCUGGAGCUACCUUGAAGGGUGGGCGAGAGACGAUGGAAGAGAAAGGAGAAGGCCCAGCUCCCAGAGCAAUCCUCACAAACGGGGUGGACAAGAGCCAUCCAGGUCUGGUGCCUGCCUUCAGCUUGCUACAGACGAAUCUGACAGCUAAGUGACACUGUCAGCAAGACAAAAGGCUGGACACUGCCACAAAACUAACAGCAAUGAUACAUCUGAGGAAAUUUCCCUGUUCAGGCUCAUUCAGAAAAAUCAAAUAACUGUCACUGCCAGUGUAAACAGACUCCUGCAAGUGCAGCAAAGGAAAUUGGAAACCAGAUGUUCCUAGAAAUUAACAAGUAAAACUUUAAAAUUUAUUUCCCAGUCUUCAUCUCAGUUUUACUUACUCAUCUUCCAGCA